rnacentral:rRNA from 1 species
CCUACGGGUGGCAGCAGUGGGGGAUAUUGCACAAUGGGCGGAACCCUGAUGCAGCGACGCCGCGUGAGUGAUGAAGUAUUUCGGUGUGGAAAGCUCUAUCAGCAGGGAAGAAAAUGACGGUACCUGACUAAGCCGCCCCGGCUAACUACGUGCCAGCAGCCGCUGUAAUACGUAGGGGGCCAGCGUUAUCCGGAUUUACUGGGUGUAAAGGGAGCGUAGACGGCUAAUCAAGUGAGACGUGAAAACCCAGGGCUCAACCUUGGGAGUGCGUUUGAAACUGAGUAGCUAGAGUGCAGGAGAGGUAAGCGGAAUGCCUAGUGUAGCGGUGAAAUGCGUAGAUAUUAGGAGGAACACCAGUGGCGAAGGCGGCUUACUUGACUGUAACUGACGUUGAGGCACGAAAGCGUGGGGAGCAAACAGGAUUAGAUACCCGUGUAGUC